AGGCUUUUCAUUCAGUCGGUAUCCACACGAGGCAGAAGGCAGUGCAGAUCGCCCGUGAAUACAGGGACUGCCUCGCGGAAAGGCCAUCCGACUAAGAAAAGACGGCCGAAAAGAACAAUUGGAGAGGAGAUGACACUCUCUGUGGGGUCUAAAAGAGUCACUCCAGAACAAGCGGACAUGGUGGACGCCGUCAGGCUGUAAACACCUCGACAUUUAUUAAACGCUUUUAAAUCACG